CCGCCAAGCUCGUUUCGGAAAAAGUUGGGGUUAAAUGUCCCCGGCAACCGAGCCGCAACCCUNUGAUCUAAGGUUGCCCAUCAAUUUUAGUUGGGGCACUCNAAGGUGACUGCCGGUGACAAAACCGGAGGAAGGUGGGGGAUGACGUCAAAUCAUCAGGCCCCUUAUGACCUGGGCACACACGUGCUACAAUGGACGAACAAACGGUUGCCAACUCGCGAGAGGGAGCUAAUCCGAUAAAGUCGUUCUCAGUUCGGAUUGUAGGCUGCAACUGCCUACAUGAAGCCGGAAUCGCUAGUAAUCGCGGAUCAGCAUGCCGCGGUGAAUACGUUCCCGGGCCUUGUACACACCGCCCGUCACUCCACGAGAGUUUGUAACACCCGAAGUCGGUGGGGUAACCUUUUGGAGCCAGCCGCCGAAGGUGGGAUAGAUGAUUGGGGUGAAGUCGUAACCAAGGUAGCCGUAUCGGAAGGUGCGGCUGGAUCACCUCCUUAAUCUAGAGCAUUCGGAGUACGAGCUGAUC
rnacentral:rRNA from 1 species